UACGUAGGGUGCGAGCGUUAAUCGGAAUUACUGGGCGUAAAGCGUGCGCAGGCGGUGAUGUAAGACCGAUGUGAAAUCCCCGGGCUUAACCUGGGAACUGCAUUGGUGACUGCAUUGCUGGAGUAUGGCAGAGGGGGGUGGAAUUCCACGUGUAGCAGUGAAAUGCGUAGAGAUGUGGAGGAACACCGAUGGCGAAGGCAGGCUCUCUGGGCCGAUACGUGACGCUGAGGAGCGAAAGCGUGGGAGCAAACAGGA
rnacentral:rRNA from 1 species